ensembl:lincRNA
GGAAAAAUACAUAAAUUCACAAUUCAUUUGGAGAUUUAAUGCAAUCCUUUGGGGCAUUAGUAGAUCAAAUAUCAUUAAUUGAGUAAUUUAGGCUCAACCUACAGUGCACAUUUUUUUUGUUGUUGUUUGAGACAGAGUCUCGCUCUGUCGCCCAGGCUGGAGUGCAGUGGCACGAUCUUGGAGUGCAUGUAUUUUUUGAUAAGGAAUAUUUAAUAUCCAAAUUCAUUUCUGAACUACUCCACAAGAAAGUCUGAAAAUAUAUUCCAUAGACGAAUCAUCAUAUGCACUAUGCUCUUCAAGAAUAAGGCAAUGAAACAGCUAUGCCAGAGAGACCAUGACCUUAUAAUUUACAGCAUAGUGUUGAGGAGAUCUUUAAAAAAAUGAUAAAAAGAAAGAGAUGGAUAAAGACAUACAGAUACCCAAAGGAUGCAGAGAGAAAAAGAUGGAACAAGAAUAUAUGUGAAAGACUACAAACAAUGGCAAGCACAGAAGAGCAAAAGAAAGAAAGAAAGGGUAACAGAGAAAGCAAUAGAGGAAGAAUAUGAAGCCAUGUUAAUCUGAAUGUGGGCUCUUUUAUACCAAGAAUCUACUCCAAGGCUGAAUAUUAGCUCACUUUUAAGAAUCAAAGUUGUGGAUUUCAUAGGAUCCAACCACACUCAGGAAGAUGAGAUCACACAAGGAUGUGGACAUAUGGAUGUGAGGAUCAUAGAGGCUACCAUAAGGGUUAAUCCACUACAAGUGUAUUUGUCAAGACGGCUCAUCUCGGUCAUGUUACUCCUGCAUAAUACUUCAAGGAGACCAUAG